AGUCACAUGCACUUUGCCACACAAUGGCUGGGAAGUGUAUCACCAGACUGCAGUUGAAGGUGCUCCCAGAAACACUUUUUGGAGCAUGUGGUACCCUGAAGAAUUUUUCUCCAACUGUAGUGCUAUAUGGGUGGCUUUGCUUGUGCUCCCAAGCUGUGUGCACAGGUGGGGCUGCUGCUUAGCUGGUGACAGCCAUGCUUGGACAAAGGAUACCUAGAGGAGAAGGAUAGCUCUGUGCCACACAGGUACCCCAGAAAAGAGAGAGACAGAUUCCCUUGGAGAGUGCAAGAUGAGAGUACACUGGGUGAGGUUCAUCAGUCCUGAGUUUCUACAGAUUUUUGUGUGUCUUAACUAGUUUUGUUAUAAACAUGAAAAGAGGAAAAAUAAUCUAGGCUGGAAAAGUUUUGAGUUUUUUGAAAAAUAAGUUUCAAUGGAAAAGGAAGGGUUAAGCAGGGAUGCCAACCAGGGAUGUGUUACAGGGAAAAGUAAAAUUAAUUCAGUAAGGUGCUGCCUUUAUUCUAUCAUGGGGUUCAUCUUACAGCUGUUGUCUUUUCACUCCCUCAUUUUUUCAAAAGCUCCGAUUUCCAUGUGAGAGCCCUGGGAGGGCACCUAAGCAAUUAAUUUCACAUGGUAAAAGCACCUUCCUCUCAAGGUUGUAAAAGCAGAAAUUAGACAUAACACCCUUCUAAGGCAUCUUUCUCAGGCUGGAAGGAAGCAGGUGUGUAGUGUUACAUUAAUUUUAAACCCAUAAUUAGUGUAACUUGAGUCCUGGACCUCAUCCAGUUUAAUUCAUUGUAUUCCUGCAAACAAGACUCCCCUGCUGAUUUUGUGUGAAUGCAGCAGGCCAGAUCUUCAGCUACCUAAGCCUUUCCUUAGGAUGCUUGGGGUGCAGGAAACGAGGUGUCAGGGAGGUACCAUAUGGAUUUCUAUAUAGCCUCUGCAACAGAGGAGUGGCUGACACGGGCUGUGCUCCGGCUGCUUGCUGGCUAUGAAAAGGAUGUUGGUGGCCCACAGGUGACAGCUGUGCUGGUUUGGUUGCCUCUGCUGGAAUGGGAGCUAUAGCUGUUGGCAGGGAGGAGGCAUUGGAAGCACCUUUUAUUUUAUCUAGUUUGGAGAAAUAAGCCACCAGGAUUAGCACUGAAUAAAGCAAGUUGAACUGCUAUAACAAAUGGCAUAAGGGAUUGCUUUCGUUUGCCCUCUUGGAAGCAAACUGAUACCACUGGGAAGUACUUUGUGUUGGCAGGGUACCUGGCCCAAGCCCAGUGUACAAAGGCAGCCAAAAGCUUUCCACAAGGAGAUUUCUGUGGGUUUCUGUGAAGAGCCCAUCUCCCCUUGCCACCAGUCCUCACCAUCCAGUCAGGAGACAGGCCUGAGGUAAAACCACUGCCUUCUUCCUCCUGACAGAGAAAUCCUCCUUCACUCUGGCCCCGACUGAAAGCUGAAAUAUGUGCUUCCCGUGCCGUGGCUUGAGCUCCUCAGGAAAACUUCAGCUACAUCCAAAUUAAUAACUGAACGCAAGCAUCCCAGACUAAGACCGGGCUUACUGUGGGAACGACUGGAUGCUGGCAGAGAGAUUGGCUGCCGCAGGAGGUGAGGACGGCCAAGCUAAACAACCGCCGUCUGGUCCCAUGUCCUCCUCCUCCCUGUGAGCAGCAGCUCUUCCACUGCUCACUAUGAGGCCGGGAUAGGGGUAACCUGGUCAUUGGCCCCACUAGCCAAGGGCUGAGCCCUUUCCACAGCUGGCUCUGCCAGGACUUUGGGAUCUAUGUGCCCCAGAGACGCAGGAUAGAUACCCAGUGCACCUGGCUGCGUGUACUAUAAAUCGCUUUCACUUUCUUGCUCGAGCCGUGGGAAUUUGCAUACAAAAAACCCUAUUAGGCCCCAUCAAAGGAUAUUUAGAUGGCUGGUGUUAAAUAACCAGAAGCAGACAGUUUAGUUCUGAGUAGAACUUGUUUCCCACUUAAAAGCGAAACAGUGUCAUAGGAAGGUUUCCUUAACCUGUUAGUAACAGUUUUACUUCUUUGCUUGCUGAGUCUUCACCACAAUGUUAAAACUGAAUUUUGGAAAUGACAGGACGUUGAGUUUCAGGAAAGGUAAAAUUUCAUGCUACUCUUUUCAGUGUUAAAUAUUUUUUAUAUAAGGUGUUGAGCAUUAUUUAUAGAUGCAUUGUUUCACCAUUACCAAAUAAAAUAAAUUUGGUUUAUGCUAUGAAUAAUAUUAACCAACAAUAAUGGCAACAGAGCUUCAAACAGAAUCACUUCUCUACAACUCCUUAUCCCCUUUGUGAUUCAAGAUAAUGGCUCCAAUGAGGUAAAGACUAGGUCAUAAUUAUUUUCAACUAACUCCUGAUUCACUGAAGCUCAAUCAAGGUUAGAGUCACCCCUUGUUUUAUAUGUUGGGCUGUUUGAACCACGAAUCUGUAACCCUCCCAGUUUAAAUGGGCUAGGAGGUUUCACCGCAGGUGAGAAAAGCACCCAAAUGGAGUGGGCACAGGUACAAAUAUAUUCUUGAUUUGCAUUUCCUCUCUGGCGUGUAUCUGUGCUUUGUGUGCCUUAGUCACAGGGGAAGUUCAGAAGUCCUUGUGUGAAAACUCAGAAGUAUUGGUAUGCAAAUAGAGAAGUGUGACUAAAUAGUCUCUCUGCUCCCACUAUUUCACAUGAAAAAUGCCAGUAUUGACAAUGCAAAUGUGACAUGCUCUGUAUACCCUAUCAAGGCACUUCAACCCCUGACUGUGUAUUUGGGGUAUAUGUAUGCAUCAAAUCUAAAGUAAGAGAAGCACUUUUCCUUAAUUAAACAACAUUUAAAUUGGUUGCUCCUUGGGAUUUCCUACUGAAUUAAUUCUUAUGCUGUAAAAGGGAUUUUCAGCUCCUCAGGUUGAAUGAGAGCUGCCUCUGAGACGUUUUCUGUCAGAAAAAAAAGUACCCAAAUGUACACAGGAAGGCUCAGGAGGAAAUAAGUGGGGGAAAGCAUCCUAGGAAAAGGAAUUCAGCAGCAGCAGCAAACCAGAGGUGGCCUAGGAGCCCACAAAGUCUAGCUGAAAACCACUGUGGAGUUUCUGGGACACUGGUAAGGGCCUCGCAGGUGUGCUCAGAAUAGUUCUGUCCUGUGCUGGAGACAUGUAGAUCUGAGCACAUGAAAAUGAUCACGCCAACAGGGUGAUGGAGGAAGAUUGGGUCUGGAAACAAGAGAUGAAGGAGAGAGCAGAUAGGUAGGGAGAUGCUUGUCUGAGAAAGAUGAGAGAAGGCAUUUAUAAUAAGGUGCUGUAAUAAAGGUAUUGGAUUUCAGACAACAACACAUGCUGUCAAUAAACCUGUGUGUUUUAGAGAGAAAAGGAAUGAAAAUUCAUUUUGAAGAUCCUAAAAAUGAAUAAAUCUUUUGGAGUAAAGCUGUAUUUAAUUUGGUUAUAAUCCACUGAAUUGAGAUAUAUUUCAACCUGACUGAAGACUCCCAAGUAUGGCUCAUAGAGGAAACCAGAUCACUUCUGGCAGAGGGAAGAAAAACUGUCUGUUAUAACUAAGUUCUC